rnacentral:misc_RNA from 1 species
UUUCCGUAGGUGAGCCUGCGGAAGGAUCAUUAUUGUUUAACCGAGAUGCGAGGGCUGUCGCUGACCCGAAAGGUCAUGCACGCCCGAGUGCCCUCACACACAUCCAUCUCACCCCUAUGUGCACCACCGCGUGGGUCCCCCUUUGGCUUGUUCGGAGGGGGGCUUACGUUUUCACACAAACUUUGUAUGCAGUGUAGAAUGUAUUUUUUGUUUUUGCGAUCACGCAAUCAAUACAACUUUCAACAACGGAUCUCUUGGCUCUC